UGUAUACUUUUUUUGAUAUGUUGUUUGAUUCGGUUGGCUAAGAUUUUGUUGAGAAUUUUUGCAUCUAUAUUCAUCAAUGAUAUUGGGUGAUAGUUUUCUUUUUUGGUGGUAUCUCUGUCUGGUUUUGGAAUGAGGGUGAUGGUGGCAUCAUAGAAUGUCUUUGGGAAUAUUCCUUCUUCUUCAAACUUUUGAAAGAGUUUAAGGAGGAUGGGCACCAAUUCCUCUUUAUAUGUUUGAUAGAAUUCACCUGUGAAGCCAUCUGGUCCUGGACUUUUAUUUGUAGGGAGUGAUUUUAUGACCUCUUCAAUUUCAUUUCUAGUGAUCGGUCUGUUCAGUUGGUCUGUUUCUACUUGAUUCAGUUUUGGCAGGGUGUAAGAUUCUAGAAAAUUGUCCAUUUCUUCCAGCUUGUCAAACUUGUUGCCAUACAGUUGUUCAUAGUAUUCUCUUAUGGUUUUUUGUAUUUCUGCUGUAUCUGUUGUGAUUUCUCCUUUUUCAUUUAUAGUUUUGGUUAUUUGGGUUCCUUCUCUCCUCUUUUUAGUGAGUCUGGCCAGGGGUUUGUCAAUUUUGUUUACCUUUUCAAAGAACCAGCUCUUGGUUUUAUUAACUUUCUCUAUUGUUUUUUGAAUCUCUAUUUUAUUGAUUUCUUCUUUGAUCUUUAUAAUUUUCUUCCUUCUGCUGACUUUAGGGCUUUUUUGUUCUUCUUUUUCUAAUUCGUUUAGGUGGAGGGUUAAGUUGUCAAUUUGGGAUCUUUCUUCUUUUUUGAGAAAGGCCUGUAUUGCUAUAAAUUUCCCUCUGAGCACUGCUUUCACAGCAUCCCAUAGAUUUUGAGAGGUUGUGUCUUCAUUAUCAUUUGUUUCAAGGUAUUUUUUUUAUUUCCUGCUUGAUUUCCUCAUUGACCCAUUGGUUUUUUAGUAGCAUGUUGUUUAGUCUCCAUGGAGUAGGUUUUUUCUCUUUCCUUUUCCCAUGGUUGAUUUCUAAUUUCAUGGCAUUGUGGUCAGAGAAGAUACUUGAGAUAAUUUCUAUGCUCCUAAAUUUAUUGAGGUUAGCUUUGUGUCCCAAUAUGUGGUCGAUUCUUGAGAAUGUUCCAUGAGCAUUUGAGAAGAAUGUGUAUUCUCAUUUUUUUGGAUGUAGUGUCCUGAAGGUAUCAGUUAAGUCUAACUUUUCUAUUGUUUCCUUUAGGAUCUCUGUUGCUUUAUUGGUUUUCUGUCUAGAGGAUCUGUCCAUUGAUGUGAGGGGGGUAUUAAGGUCUCCUACUAUGAUUGUAUUCUCAUCAAUAUCUCCCUUUAUGUCUGUUAAUAUUUGUUGUAUGUAUCUGGGUGGUCCUAUAUUUGGGGCAUAUAUGUUGACGAUAGUAACAUCCUCUCCUUGGAUGGAUCCCUUAAUCAUUAAGUAGUGUCCUUCUUUGUCUUUCUUUAUGUCUUUUGUUUUAAAGUCUAUUUUGUCUGAUAUGAGUGUUGCAACUCCUGCUUUUCUGUCAUGUGUAUUGGCGUGAAAUAUUUUUCCCCACCCUUUCACUUUCAAUCUAUGUGUAUCCUUUGUCCUAAGGUGAGUUUCUUGUAGGCAGCAUAUUGAAGGUUUUUGCCUUUUUAUCCACUCAGCCACUCUGUGUCUUUUGAUUGGGGCAUUCAGUCCAUUGACAUUUAAGGUGAUGAUUGAUAGAUAAUUAUUUAUUGCCAUUUUGAACCUCGUGUUCCAGUUGAUUCUAUGGUUCUCCAUUCUUCCUUUCUUUUUUUUUUUUGGUGGGAUGGUCUCCUGUUAUUAUCUGCUUGAGUGUUUUUUUUUCUUUCAUUUUUUGCGGAUGCAAUAUUUGGUUUUGGCUUGCUAUUCACCCUUAAAAUAACAAAACAAUGCCGUUCAUAGCAAUAUGGAGGCAACUAGAGAUUCUCAUACUAAGUAAAGUAGUCAGAAAGAGAAAGACAAAUACAUUAUGAUAUCCUUUACAUGUAGAAUCUAAAAUACGGCACGAACAAUCCUAUCUACAAAAUAGAAAUAUACUCACAUUCAUAGAGAAUAGACUUGUGGUUGCCGAGGUGGGGGGAAGGAGUGGGAUGGGUGGGGAGUUUGGGGUUGGUAGAUGCAAACUAUUACCUUUAUAAUAGAUAAACAAUGAGGUUCUACUGCCCAGCACAGGGAACUAUAUCCAGUCUCUUGGGAUAGACCAUGAUGGAAGAUAAUAAAAGAAAGAAAAUGUAUAUCUAUGUAUGACUGGGUCACUUCUCUGUACAACAAAAAUUGGACAACAUUGUAAAUCAGCUAGCCAGACUUUAAUAAAAAAUGAAAAAAUUUAAAAGAGAGAGAGAGAAAAAAAAGGAAAUGUGAUCUAAUUUUGUGGUCCAAAAAGCUGAGGUCUGAAAGGGUUCAAUUACAUAUGGAAGGUCACAAUUUCUGGGAGAUUCUUGACCCCUGCCAUGACACCCUGGCUGGAAGCCUGGUCAUACUCCAGUAUGUCUUCCUGGAUCCCAUUGUUCUUUCUUGUGAGUGUCUUUCCUCCUGACUCCUUAUUUCCUAUUCAAAUCUUCAAAUCCAUCUAUUCCAUCAGGGCAGAAGGCAGACUACCUCUAUGAGGGGAGAGGGGGGUCUAACAGUCUCUCUAUUGUCUUUCAUACAUGUGUGUGUGCCCACGCGCGCAUGCGUGCCUUGAUAGAAUAUAUACACAUGGUGUGUGCAUCUGUAUUUACUAUGGCAAUAUUUUGCAUUAUAAACAAAUUACCUUGAGGGAGUAUGAGAUCCUCAGGGGCAGGGUAUCCACUAAGAAUCUUUUUGUUGCAAAUGAUAUAAAGUCAGUUGUGUUCUCAGUGGAGAAAACCAAACCACCUCCAACCUCUGUCCCAAAACACCUAGCAACUUUCAGAUAUGACCCCACCUUGGGCUCAGUUCUCUCUUUCCAUAUGUUGGCUCAAUUUCCUGCUGCUCUCCAUCCUUUCAGGUCAGCCCCAGCGGUGAGUGAAAGCACAGUCCUCUCUCCCGUGAGACCCAGCCCAGCUCCAGGGUUCAGCUCCAAAACCACCUUCAAGGCGCAGGCAUGGGGUGCACCAAAUGGCUGAGACUAGACCCCACAUCCAUCCUUGGCACUGAUGAGGAUUCAGAUGGACCCCAAGGUUUAGGAACAAGAAAGUGGCCGGUUUUCAGAAGAAAACUGGGAUGGCGUUGCCAAAAGAACAGGGGAUCAAUAUUGAAUGGCAACAAUAACAAGUGUCCACUAUGGUUUGACUUUGUAUGGCCAGGACUUGGGACAGGAUGGACAUUUAGCAAACAUCUACUGAAUUAAACAGAACCCUGCAAUACUAGCUUCCCAAUCACACGCCGUAGGAAAGAAUGGGCUGAAAAGGAAGAUGUGCUAUUAAACCCUUAGUGUCUUUGGGGUUUAUAGCUAAAAAGCACAUGCUCUAAUUGCUAUUUUUUUUUUUUUGUCUUUUUUUUAGGGCGUUGCCCACAGCAUAUGGAGGUUCCUAGGCUAGGGGUCCAAUCAGAGCUCUAGCUGCUGGCCUACACCACAGCCACAGCAAUGCCAGAUCCAAGCCGCAUCUGUGACCUAUACCACAGCUCAUGGCAACGCCGGAUCCUUAACCCAUUGAGCGAGGCCAGUGAUCGAACCUGCAUCCUCAUGGUUGCUCGUCAGAUUCGUUUCCGCUGAGCCACCACGGGAACCCCUGAUUGCUAUUUUGCAUUAUUUCUUUUAAACUAGAGAAGGUGUCAGAUACUCUGAAAGUUUAAAUCAGUGGGUCCCCAUCUUGGUUCAGUGACAUAGCUAUGGUUACUCUUUUAAAAUUCAGUGGGAACUAUCAACCAUUUCCUCAGAAAAUUUUCCAUAUAAUAAUAAUUCACUUGGGAUUUGGGGAGUUCCUGGAGUCCUAGCGGGCCAGGAAUAAUGCCUUGACAUUGGAUUUUGUAUAUUGCACGAUUCCCCAUUGUUUGCAAAAUCCUUCCUCUUGGCACUACCCUGACUCAGGACUAGAGGGCAUUGUGUACUCAGAAACCACAUCAGACACAGUGUGCAAGCGCUUUAGAUUUUUACACAGAAAUGCUUGUUCACCGCUCAGUUAACAAGUAAGUCCUUCCCCUCUCCCAGGAGGGAAUGAAGUCAGCCCCCUGCGAGGAAAGGGAUGGGGAGAAAGGGAGCCACGCUGCCUAAAUGUUUCCCUCAUUUGUAUGUUGAUGAAAUGUCGGCAAUCUCCUCGGAGUUCAAGUGCCUGGUUGGGAUUGAUUUCCCAGCAAGGAUCCUGGUGUGCUGGGAUGUGCAGCCUAUUGGGAGCACAUGAGGUUCAAAGUCCCAGCCUUGCCUCUGGCUGCCUAUGGGAUCUUAGGAACACCCUUCCCUCCUCUGGGCCUCUUUGCAAAAACUACAGGAUGAGAUUAGCUGCUCCCAGAUAAUUACGGAACGUGAUGCCUCUCAGGUUCAAAUGUUCCAGGAGUGGUGGAGAGAUGGGAGGGGGACCAAAAAAAAAAAAAUACAGCCAAGGAAGAGUGUGGCUAGACUUGGAAAUGAACAUAUCAGAGGAUUCUGUGAGGAUGCAGGCAAAGCAAUAAACCUAGCUAGGGAAUUUGGAGGGUGGAAGGAGAAGACCCAUCUAUGAUGCUAAAUGGUUUGUAUAUAAAAGCAAUCAGCUUAUCCAAAAGGACUGUCCUGCAAGAGGCAGCCUCUGAGAUGGCUCUAGGGAGUCCUACCUCCUUGCGAAAUCCAUCCCCCUUGAGUGAGCUCACCCUAGACUUACUUCUAACAAACAGAACAAGGAAAAUGUACAGGAUUUCACUUUGGAGAUUAGGUCACAAGAAGAUGGUAAAUUCCAUCUUGGGCUCUCUUUUUCCUUCUACCUUUCUGUGCUAAGCUAGCUGCCACACUGAGAGCCAGGAACUCCAUGGCAAGGAAUGAAGGGAGGCUUCCAGACCACUGCCAGUGAGAAACGGAGGCCCCUGGUCCAGCAGUUCACAUGAGAUAGAUUCCUGCCAAUAACCAUCUGGACAAGCUUGGGGGUGGGUCCUUCCCCAUCUGAGCUUUCAUAUCAGAAGGCAGCCCUGGCUCAGAGCUUGAUGAUAGACUCUGAGAGACCUAAGGGCAGAGGCAUCCCGCUGAGCCAUGCCUAGAUGCCUGACCUUUGGAAACUGUGAGACAAUGUCUGUUGUCUGAAGAUGCUAAGAUUUGGGAUAAUUUGUGACAGGUAACUAAUGCAAAUAUUAAAGAAGUGAUUUCCAAACCUUUCUAACCGGCAGUGUGAUUUAGGGUAAGUCUUUUUUUUUUUUUUUUGAAGUUUGUUUGUUUGUUUUUUAGGGUAAGUCUUUUCCCUUCUCUAAACCUUGAUUUGUUCAUGGGUAAAUGGUAGCUAUAGAGGAUUGCUUGAGGUUUAAAUGAGAUCAUGAAUGAAAAGUGCUUGCGUGGUAUUUGGCCCAAGAGCAGUCAGUACAAGAGCACCACCACCAUCAUCAAAGGAGACCCACAGUAGAGGGGUAGAAGCUAGUAGCUACUUCCUAUUUUUUUCUUUAGUCACAGACCGUAUGACUGUGAGCAAAUGACGGUCCAAUCCUAGAGCCCCAUCCUCUGGCACCAAUGAUUGGCCCAAAAGGUAGGCGCUGAACUAAAAGGACCAAUGACCAUCCCUUCCCGAGAUUUACACACAGUUGCUGGGAGAGGCUGGCAUGGGGAGGAAUUUCUCACACCUUCGAGAGAAAUCCUCUAACCCUUCCUCCAAAACAGAGGCCAUCAGUAAUUUCCAGCAAAGCUCUUUGAUAUUUAUUUUAUUUCCAUUAGAGUUAAAUUCCAGUGAUUAAUGAAGC
rnacentral:lncRNA from 1 species